rnacentral:rRNA from 1 species
UAGGGAAUCUUCCGCAAUGGGCGAAAGCCUGACGGAGCAACGCCGCGUGAGUGAUGAAGGUCUUCGGAUCGUAAAACUCUGUUAUUAGGGAAGAACAAAUGUGUAAGUAACUAUGCACGUCUUGACGGUACCUAAUCAGAAAGCCACGGCUAACUACGUGCCAGCAGCCGCGGUAAUACGUAGGUGGCAAGCGUUAUCCGGAAUUAUUGGGCGUAAAGCGCGGGUAGGCGGUUUUUUAAGUCUGAUGUGAAAGCCCACGGCUCAACCGGGGAGGGGCAUUGGAAACUGGGAAACUUGAGUGCAGAAGAGGAGAGGGGAAUUCCAUGUGUAGCGGUGAAAUGCGCAGAGAUAUGGGGGAACACCAGUGGCGAAGGCGGCUUUCUGGUCUGUAACUGACGCUGAUGUGCGAAAGCGUGGGGAUCAAACAGG